rnacentral:rRNA from 1 species
GACGAACGCUGGCGGCGUGCCUAACACAUGCAAGUCGAACGAGGUCCAAGGGAGCUUGCUCCCUGACGACCUAGUGGCGAACGGGUGAGUAACACGUGAGAAACCUGCCUCGGAGUGGGGAAUAACUCGGGGAAACUCGAGCUAAUACCGCAUACCUUCACAUGAUCGCAUGGUCGAGUGAAGAAAGAAUUUCGCUCUGAGAGGGUCUCGCGGCCUAUCCGCUUGUUGGUGGGGUAACGGCCUACCAAGGCAACGACGGGUAGCUGGUUUGAGAGAACGAUCAGCCACACUAGGACUGAGACACGGCCCAGACUCCGACGGGAGGCAGCAGUGGGGAAUGUUGCGCAAUGGGCGAAAGCCUGACGCAGCAACGCCGCGUGCGGGAUGACGGCCUUCGUGGUUGUAAACCGCUUUCAGCAGGGACGAAAUUGACGGUACCUGCAGAAGAAGCCCCGGCUAACUACGUGCCAGCCGCCGCCGUAACAC